UCCAAUUUUGAUUUAGACAGGCGUGCUUUUCAUGAGCCGUACUUAAUAAUUUGCGCUGCUUCACUUCGAAACCUGGGGCGAGUGACAUUUCAUAAUAAGAAAAAAGGGUUUAUCACGUACAAUUUUGGCAUUUCUGAGCGUCUACAGGUUUGCGGUUAUUAAAAAUUUCAACUGCUUUUUGAAAAGCCUUAUUACUACAAACAUAGCAUAAUGCCUGGAUAUAAUGUGUGGGAAAACGAGACCUAUAGGCUUCGGGCGAGUUUUUCCACGUUAUUCGAGUUCUCCCAAACUACUACAAGUGUUUCUAUAACUGUAUGGGUCACACAUAAUA